GACGAACGCUGGCGGCGUGCUUAACACAUGCAAGUCACGGGGGUCCCGCAAGGGACAACCGGCGAACGGGUGCGUAACACGUGAACAACCUGCCCUCGUGUGGGGGAUAGCCAUGCUAACGCGUGGGUAAUACCGCAUACGUUCCCUUGGAGGAGUCUCUGGGGAGGAAAGCUCCGGCGCACGGGGAGGGUUCGCGGCCUAUCAGCUAGUUGGCGGGGUAAUGGCCCACCAAGGCGACGACGGGUAGCNGGUCUGAGAGGGCGACCGGUCACACUGGGACUGAGACACGGCCCAGACUCCUACGGGAGGCAGCAGUGGGGAAUAUUGCGCAAUGGGGCGAAAGCCUGACGCAGCGACGCCGCGUGAGGGAUGAAGGUCUUCGGGUUGUAAACCUCUUUCAGCAGGACGAAGCGAAAGUGACGGUACCUGCAGAAGAAGCACCGGCCAACUACGU
rnacentral:rRNA from 1 species